ACGCACGCUGGCGGCGUGCCUAAUACCUGCAAGUUGAGCGCUGAAGAUUGGUGCUUGCACCAAUUUGAAGAGCAGCGAACGGGUGAGUAACGCGUGGGGAAUCUGCCUUUGAGCGGGGGACAACAUUUGGAAACGAAUGCUAAUACCGCAUAACAACUUUAAACAUAAGUUUUAAGUUUGAAAGAUGCAAUUGCAUCACUCAAAGAUGAUCCCGCGUUGUAUUAGCUAGUUGGUGAGGUAAAGGCUCACCAAGGCGAUGAUACAUAGCCGACCUGAGAGGGUGAUCGGCCACAUUGGGACUGAGACACGGCCCAAACUCCUACGGGAGGCAGCAGUAGGGAAUCUUCGGCAAUGGACGAAAGUCUGACCGAGCAACGCCGCGUGAGUGAAGAAGGUUUUCGGAUCGUAAAACUCUGUUGGUAGAGAAGAACGUUGGUGAGAGUGGAAAGCUCAUCAAGUGACGGUAACUACCCAGAAAGGGACGGCUAACUACGUG
rnacentral:rRNA from 1 species